rnacentral:rRNA from 1 species
CGGGGUUGGAUACCUGCCGGAGGCCAUUGCUAAAAGGGUUUGACUAAGCCAUGCGAGUCGAGAGGUGUAACACCUCGGCAUACUGCUCAGUAACACGUGGUUAACCUGCCCUAAGGUGGAGCAUACUCCCGGGAAACUGGGGCUAAUCCUCCAUAGUGGAUGUAUCCUGGAAUGGUAUAUCCUCGAAAGAUCCGUCGCCUUAGGAUGGGACUGCGUCCGAUUAGGUUGUUGGCGGGGUAACGGCCCACCAAGCCAUUGAUCGGUACGGGUUGUGGGAGCAAGAUCCCGGAGAUGGAUUCUGAGACAUGAAUCCAGGCCCUACGGGGCGCAGCAGGCGCGCAAACUUUACAAUGCGAGCAAUCGUGAUAAGGGAAACCCUGAGUGCCUGUCGAUGCAGGCUGUUCUUAUAUCUAAAUCAUAUGUGAAGAAAGGGCAGGGCAAGACCGGGUGCCAGCCGCCGGGGGAU